rnacentral:tRNA from 1 species
GGAGAGAUGGCUGAGUCUGGCUGAAGGCGCGCGACUCGAAAUCGUGUGAGGGCCUGCGCCCUCCGGGGGUUCGAAUCCCUCUCUCUCCGCCA